AGGUGCUUUUGUCUCAAUUCCUCCCUUUAGUAAUAAUUAUAAUGGUAAUGGAAAUUUUUAUCUUUUACCAUCCAUGGCCCCGGAUCCUGAGCUCCCAGGGAAGCUAUCCUUUAACGUUUUACCAAGCUCAAAAUGACUGGGCAAAACCUCAGAGCAUAGACCCUCUCUCUGCCCCAAGCACAUAUCGUAGAUCUGCUUUGAGAAGAAAAAGAUAACCCAACGAUGCCAUUGCAAACAUAAAGUUAAGAAAAACAAAACAACCUCUCUGGCUCCCAUAAGAUUAAAGUCAUACCGAUUUGCACAUACUGAAAACAUAAGAAAAAGUCUGUAACUCUCUGGAAUGUUCUUCCUUAUGGUGAUGUGUAACUCUGUAUGUAAAACAAGACAACAAAUAUAUAAACCUGCCCCAAAUGUUCCUUCCCCGGAGCACUCCCUUCUUUCUGAAGAUUGUGUCUCCCAGGCAGCUGUCCUGACUUGGGUUUGAAUAAAACUCUCUUCCUUUCUCUCUAAACUGUUUAAAAGGGUUUGUUCAUUCAGUGUCGACAAUAACAGUAUGUUUUCUUUUUAAGUGAAAAAUAAAUGUUCCUGGUUCCCAACUCCCAACGGCACAGAAGGGCGGCUCGUCCUCAUCCUGGAGGCUUCCCUGCAGAACCAAGCAUACGUAUAUAUAUUCCAUCAUGAACGGGCUCAUCCUACAAGGAUGCUUUGAAGGUCCAGGAAGCACUAUCCACUCCCUGGUGAGACCAGAAGUCUCUUCUGCCUGAUGUCCAUCAACUGGCUGUAUCCCCCAGACCGGUGAACUCCAGGGCGCCUGCUCACCCCAGAGACAGCCCCCUGUCCAGCUCAUUUUGUUGGAGAUCCUCGAACGAAGAACAUGUUUGCGUGUUGCAUCCCAAAGUCUGGAGGCUGCAGGCUGAAGAAAGCGCACCCUGCAAACGCUGUCCCCCACUGAGGAUGUCGUGUCAGGGCUCCCCACCACCUCUGGCCA